AUGUUUGAGAUAAAUUCCAACACGAAUAUCUUUCUAGCAGUUUUGGUUGAAAACAGUUGCACACUAGGGAGUUUCAUAGUUGUCAAGUAUACUCUGCUCCUACCACAUUCCAUUGGUGUUCAGGGAGGAAUUAUGUUACAUACUCAGAACCUGCAUGGUCACCCAGCUUGCUCAGACUACUCGGAAUAUGUAUGCACAUCAUGUUAUCUUGACCCGAGGGACGGAGAAAACAACCCAAUUUUUCCAUCGGAUAUGGCAGUGAUCUCUGCGCAGCUGAAGCGUGACAACUUUAAUAUCGCUUGGAGUAGUUGGCAUCACAUCUUUCGGGUCGACUGGCCAAACCCAUUUCUGCAGCAACAGGUUGUUAAGCUCGUAGGAGUACCCGAGAGACAAUCUCCAUGGGACCCGGGUGGUGUCCGCUUCGUCGACAUUAUUGAACUUCUCAUUGAGCUGCUAGUACCAUGGGAUCCGGGUGGUUCACAUCACCGGCUUGAGGACAAGCCGCAUUUUAAGGGGGCGAGAAUGUCAUGCCCCAGAGGUCAUGCUCUCUUUGUGGGACUGCCCUGGAAAAUGGGUCGUGGAACUUGGGCUGGGCCUAGUGGCAAGGAUCUGGAGCAAUGCUAUAUAAAGAGGCGCGCGUCACAGGAGACAGGGCAAAUGAUUGAAACGUCUAAAGCCUCUCAUCCUUUUGCUCCUGUUCCUCACCUCCCUGCUAUCUGUAUCUCCCUCUUGUUGCUGAUUCUCACCUCAAAUCUCUUCUCUUGUAUCCGAAAUCGGUACUGA
rnacentral:rRNA from 1 species